UACGUAGGUGGCGAGCGUUGUCCGGAUUUACUGGGCGUAAAGCGCGCGCAGGCGGACUGAUCAGUCUGGGGUGAAAUCUCACGGCUCAACUGUGAGCGGUCCCUGGAUACUGUCAGCCUUGAGAUGUCUAGAGGAGAGCGGAAUUCCCGGUGUAGUGGUGGAAUGCGUAGAUAUCGGGAAGAACGCCAGUGGCGAAAGCGGCUCUCUGGGGACCAUCUGACGCUGAGGCGCGAAAGCGUGGGGAGCGAACCGG
rnacentral:rRNA from 1 species